AUCGCUUCUCGGCCUCUUGGCUAAGUAGAUCAAGUGUAGUACCUGUUCUUAUCGGGUUAAUAUCUGAGACGGCCUCUAUAUGAGGGCUACAUACUGAAUAGAGUUUUAGAACUGGGAGGAAGAGGAGCUCUGUCUGCUCUACACCUCGACCUGGUAUUGCAGUACCUCCGGGAACGGCGCACCUCCG
ensembl:snRNA U2 U2 spliceosomal RNA